CGGAGGCGAGCCGAAGUGCCUGGGUCCUGUCGCGGCGUUGGGGAUUCUCCCGGUUGAUGGGGCUGCGGCGGUUAGAUGCCAUGGAGCACAGUGCGGAUAAGGAAGAUAUGGUCUGGCCAUAACAAUUUAGAAAUCUAAUGAAGCAGAUUAAAAAGAUGGCGUUCUCUCUUGUUGCCCAGGCUGGGGUGCAAUGGCGAG